GCGGCGCUGAGGGAAGGCGGAGAAGGCAGCGCGGGUCGGGGCGGCCUCGCAGCCUUCUCGGGCGGAGGGCGGAUCCACCGCUCCCGUGGGCCGGACAGGGCCUGCCCGCUUCUCUGGGACGGGCCCGUGAGAGGCCGGUGCGCCCACCGGGACGCGCCCGUGGAAAAUGCCAGCGCAAAGCUUAGAGCAAAGUCGGUCUGUUACAAAAUCACAGAAUCAGCUAGGUUGGAAAAAACCUUUUGAGGCCGUCGAGUCCGACCUAUGACCGAGCACCACCAAGUCAUCCAGAGCGUUCCACCGAGUGCCAGAUGUUUUCUUAAACACCUCCGGGGGCGGUGACUCCAUCACUUUCCUCGGCAAUCGAUUCUUCUAAUAAUCCUUUUUGUGAAGAAGUCCCUCUACACUUAGGCUUGUUGUAACCUCAGAACUGGCAGGACCUUUCAGGUCCGUAGGAAUGGUGGAUCUCUCAGAGCAAGCUGCAAGGUCAACAUGGUUAUCCUGAUUAAUCGAAAGUAGUGAAAAACAACCAGAAUAUGACCGAAGGACAAGGCCGCUUCAGUCCUUCGUGAAAUAUACCUCUUAUGUUAAAAGAAGUUACAGUUAUAUUCAUCUCUGAGAGUGAAAGACAUUUUUUAGUACUAAAAAAGCCUGAAAAUACAGGACUUUCUGGGCUGGGUUUUUUUUCUUGGAGGGGAUCAUACCUACAGAUGUAAGUUUGCUGUGCACAGAGACAUUUAUGUUAUUUUUUCAUUUGAACGCAGUAUUAUGCACUAACAAAAUUUGUGCAACUCUAUCUCCGAAUAUCUCUGUAGGGCACUAGUAUCUCUAGCAAUGUCUAAAAUGAUGCCUCCUCUUCUGCCUAGGGAAACAAAUUUCAUUUCACUGAACGUGAGUAGAAGAAAACAGAGGGAGUAGUUUGCCUUCUUCAUUAAACCUUUGAUGGGGUUAAAAUACUGUUUAGUGCUUACAAGAAAAAAGUGCAGUUGAAUGCAGUUUCUCAUUGUUACCUGCUUGCUAGUUCACUAUGAAGCAGAAAAGAUUGAUGACUUUACGUUGUUUUCAAAUGUGAUCUCUAAGACUCAUGCAGAGUAUUUGUUGAAGACAAAGUACAGCAAUAACUCUUGGAAGUAUCAAAUCAACACUCUCCUCAUCUGUUCUUUCAGGUUACAAUUCUCUGUGAGGCCACAAAGUGCCCUGGAGUGUGUUAAAGUAUUGCCAAAGCAUGCACCUCCCACAGCCCCUGGCUCAAGCAGUCCCAGCUUAUGGACUAAGAGUGCACAUGGAUAGUGUGAGAGCAUUAAUCUUCAUAGUGCUGUGGCUGUGGAAAGCUAUGCCUUGACAUCAUAGCUUUUUUUUUCAAAGACAGUAGCUAAGAACUUCUCUUUUGAUAGGUGAAAGUAAGGACACGGGCCUUUUUUAGAAUACUUAAUGUAGCAAUGUGUGAUCAAUACAUCAGCAUUUUGGCUUUAUUAAGGUGCUCCGGCACAGUAUUUCCAGUACAUGCUUAUCUUGCAUGGGAGCAUCUCAAAGCACCUGUAAAUUUGCUGGCGUGUUCUACCUGGGAGGAAGAAUCUUUUAAUUACUGAGGUUUAAGUAAGCUUUUCUGCACUUUCUUCCUGCCUUUCAUAUUUUGGGCUAUGUCUUAAGGUUACUGUUAGCUAGUAACAAAAACCCUGGUACUAUGACAACAACCUCUAAGAGAAAAGGAAAACCUGUAAAUUCCCUCACCUGUUUUUUAAGUUGCUGAUGCAAUAUCUAGGCAGCACAAACAUCUGAAGAAAAAAAAAAUAGUCUUUUUGCUGUGUGGUAGUGUAUUUUCUCUAUUUCACAGUGGUACCAUUGUGAAAUAGAGAAUCACUCCUGAUUUGAGGAGUUGACAUCUAUUUGAGUUACAAAUUUGUCUUCCAUGACACCUCUGGGUCCCUGUUUCAGUGUGGUGCCAGUCAUGGUGAAAAAUUUUUCCACAAUAUACCCUGAAUUUCCUGUAUUGCAAUGAAUGUACUUGUCUUGUGUGAUCAUUGUGUUUUUCCAGGGAGGCUGCAUCUGUUAUAGAUGGGUCGUAUGAUGAUUGGCUCUUGCAGUUAAGAGAUUAAUAUUUUGUGUAUGUUAAGAGAAGUUUCACUGGGGUCAUUGUUUGUUGUUUGGCAGUCCGGUGUUCUCCCCAUAGUCCCGUUCCCCGCUCUGCACUGAUGUCACCGGACAGCCUUGGCUGGUGGGGAAGGCUUGUUACCAGGGGGGCGGGGCAUGACAGCACCUGACCUCCAAUCAAGUAGCAAGGAUGUAGUCUCCACCAAUGGAUCAUGAGGAAGAAGUUGAGUGACAGACUCUGGGAGGGGCCAAAUGCCUGAUGCACCGGCAGGGGUAUAAAAGGUGGAGCAGCCAUUUUGUAGACAGGCACAUGGUUGUCAGUCAUAUGUUCAAAGAGCUCUGCCCUUUUUCUUCACUAUUUUGUUAUAUUUGUAAAGGUUUAAUAAACCUUGAAAAUUUUAGAAGUGAA